CCUACGGGAGGCAGCAGUAAGGAAUAUUGGUCAAUGGAGGCAACUCUGAACCAGCCAUGCCGCGUGCAGGAUGACGGCCCUAUGGGUUGUAAACUGCUUUUAUACAAGAGAAAACCCUGGUACGUGUACCAGGUUGAUAGUAUUGUAAGAAUAAGCAUCGGCUAACUUCGUGCCAGCAGCCGCGGUAAGACGAAGGAUGCAAGCGUUAUCCGGAUUCAUUGGGUUUAAAGGGUGCGUAGGCGGACUGAUAAGUCAGUGGUGAAAUCUCUUUGCUUAACAAAGAAACUGCCAUUGAUACUGUCGGUCUAGAGUAUAGAUGACGUUGGCGGAAUAUGACAUGUAGUGGUGAAAUACUUAGAUAUGUCAUAGAACACCGAUCGCGAAGGCAGCUAACGAAACUAUAACUGACGCUGAGGCACGAAAGUGCGGGGAUCAAACAGGAUUAGAUACCCUGGUAGUCCGCACCGUAAACGAUGAUUACUCGUUGUUGGCGAUAUGACAGUCAGCGACCAAGCGAAAGCGAUAAGUAAUCCACCUGGGGAGUACGCCGGCGAACGGUGAAACUUAAAGGAAUUGACGG
rnacentral:rRNA from 1 species